rnacentral:rRNA from 1 species
AUUGAACGCUGGCGGCAGGCCUAACACAUGCAAGUCGAGCGGAUGAAGGGUGCUUGCUCCUGGAUUCCGCGGCGGACGGGUGAGUAAUGCCUAGGAAUCUGCCUGGUUGUGGGGGAUAACGUCCGGAAACGGGCGCUAAUACCGCAUACGUCCUGAUGGAGAAAGUGGGGGAUCUUCGGACCUCACGCUCUCUGAUGAGCCUAGGUCGGAGUAGCUAGUUGGUGGGGUAAAGGCCUACCAAGGCGACGAUCCGUAACUGGUCUGAGAGGAUGAUCAGUCACACUGGAACUGAGACACGGUCCAGACUCCUAAGGGAGGCAGCAGUGGGGAAUAUUGGACAAUGGGCGAAAGCCUGAUCCAGCCAUGCCGCGUGUGUGAAGAAGGUCUUCGGAUUGUAAAGCACUUUAAGUUGGGAGGAAGGGCAGUAAGUUAAUACCUUGCUGUUGUGACGUUACCAACAGAAUAAGCACCGGCUAACUUCGUG